rnacentral:misc_RNA from 1 species
GUUGAGUUCAGGAAGAGAUUGAUCCUUCAUUCCUUCCUCCCUCUCUUCCUAAAAAAGAAAGACCAGCAACGAUCUCUUCCAUGCCUGUAUCACAAUUAAUAACCAAUCUUAAAACCCACCAAUUUGGAGGAAAUUGACUGUGAGUUAAGGAAAAAGGAUAUCAUAAACAUGGGAAAUUCUUUGUUUCAAUUUGUUAUUUAUUUUUCUUUAACAAAGACUUUGACCCCUAAAGGCAGAUCAGAGGAUGCAAGGAAAUUGUAUAUGAAAAACUUCAAUUCUAUGUUAUUUUUU